GAUGAAGAACGCAGCGAAAUGCGAUACUUGGUGUGAAUUGCAGAAUCCCGUGAACCAUCGAGUCUUUGAACGCAAGUUGCGCCCGAAGCCAUUAGGCCGAGGGCACGCCUGCCUGGGCGUCACACGUCGUUGCCCCCCCAUCUACUCCUUCGGGAUUGCGGGGGGCGGAUGAUGGCCUCCCGUGCGCCUCGUCGCGCGGUUGGCAUAAAUACCAAGUCCUCGGCGACGCACGCCACGACAAUCGGUGGUUGCGAAACCUCGGUUGCCCGUCGUGUGCGGUCGUCGCGCAUCGAGGGCUCGAAAAAAUUGCCGGGCUCCGGCUCGGCUUUCAACGCGACCCCAGGUCAGGCGGGGUUACCCGCUGAAUUUAAGCAUAUCAAUAAGCGGAGGA
rnacentral:misc_RNA from 1 species